UACAGAGGCCUCAAGCGUUGUUCGGAAUUACUGGGCGUAAAGCGGGUGUAGGUUGCGUAGUAAGUCAGAUGUGAAAGCCCUGGGCUCAACCCUGGAAGUGCGUCUGAUACUGCUACGCUGGAGUGCGAUAGAGGUAAGUGGAAUUCCUAGUGUAGGGGUGAAAUCCGUAGAUAUUAGGAGGAAUACCGAUGGCGAAGGCAACUUACUGGCUCGUAACUGACACUGAGACCCGAAAGCGUGGGUAGCAAAC
rnacentral:rRNA from 1 species